UUAUGAUGACACAGAUGACGAGUCUUAUUUGAGUUUUCAAUGCAGACACUAUAUUCUUUACCAUUCAUGCUUUCCUGAAA
rnacentral:snoRNA from 1 species